UACGAAGGGGGCGAGCGUUGUUCGGAAUUACUGGGCGUAAAGCGUGCGCAGGCGGUUAUGUAAGACAGUUGUGAAAUCCCCGGGCUCAACCUGGGAACUGCAUCUGUGACUGCAUAGCUAGAGUACGGUAGAGGGGGGAUGGAAUUCCGCGUGUAGCAGUGAAAUGCGUAGAUAUGCGGAGGAACACCGAUGGCGAAGGCAAUCCCCCUGGACCUGUACUGACGCUCAUGCACGAAAGCGUGGGGGAGCAAACAGG
rnacentral:rRNA from 1 species